rnacentral:tRNA from 1 species
GGUCCGGUAGCUCAGUUGGAUUAGAGCAACUGCCUUCUAAGCAGUAGGUCUUGGGUUCGAACCCCAACCGGAUCACCA